UUUUUUUUAAUUUUUUUUUUUUUUUAAUUCUGAGCUCGCAGUACUUGGGCUGAGCCGGUGAGAUCUCGCGAGAUGCUGCAGGGCCGCUUCACCUCAGGCGUGUGGUACCCGAGGCGGUGCUAGAGCUGCCGGCCGCCCCUCGCUCCGGUGGGUGAUGCCGGGGGCUUUCCCGUCAGGCCCGCAGGUGCUUCCGGAGCGGCGGGCGAGGGGCGCCCCCAGGCGAGGUCCGCCCGCUGCUCCCGCGCGCCGCGACUGCCGGCCCUCACCCCAGGCCUGAGCCUUAGGGGGAGGCAGGAUUUCCUCUGUGCUGCCUUUGAGGCGGUCGACUCCCCGCCCGGCCGCGUUAGAUUUGCAUAACCAGAAACUCUUUCCUGUGGAGAUGCAGUGGGUGUGUCCACACUUCGAUGACACCUUUAUUUUAAAAGCUGUGAUGUUUGAAGUGGUCCUAAAAGUCGAUGGAUAAGAAAGUGCAAUUAAUAAAAGACAGCAUAUUACCAGACACGAAGUAUGUACCCUAAGAAGUUAGAAAAUACCUUCUCUCCAACCUUCCUUCAAUUUACAUGUCCUCACUUCAUCUGAAACACUGUAUCAAAUGCUGUCAGGAAUUUAAGCAUCUCUAAUAACAAUUUAUUCAUGAUUAAACUUCGGCUUAUAAAAAAUGAAA